ensembl:lncRNA
GAUCCUUUUUUUGUGGUAUAGUUCUAUAAAAAUGGAACGUGGCCGCCGCACCAUCACCUGUUGGUUUGUGGCGUCCUAAUAUGAAGACUCAGGUUGGGCAUUUUCCACUUUGUGUUUCGAAGCCGCUUCCUCACUGACCAACAACAUGUCCCCAAAACAUCUGUUUCUUGGAGCUGCCAUCACUUAAGAAAUGGGCCUGAAUGUCUUGGCCCAACUGGAGUCGAUGGCUGUUUUGAUGGAGGUCGCCGCCAUGAUGUCACCUGUUGGUUUCUGAAGUCACGUUUUGAACUUUUAUGAGGCGCCUGAUGGCAGCAAGCAACUCUUAAUAUAUGCAAAACAAACCAAAGUACACAAAUCUCCAGUAAAGCUCUUUUUUAUCUACUUGGUUCAGAUGAAAGGUGUUUGAAACGAAGCCAUCAGCAUUUUUACUGUUAAAACAAUCCAGCUGUUCUCUUUCUUUCUUUGUGCUCCACUUUAACGCUCAUCCAGCAGAUGAGCCUCCUCUGGUGUUAGAUUUAGAUCUGGGCCAAAGGAGAGGCUCAUAAUCACAUUUAUGUGAAAAUUAUCACAAGUUACUGCCUCGGGGUCCGGCCAGAAGGCCACAGUCAUUACACAUUUGUGAGGCAGUUAAUAUCUUCUUGUUUUACUGCCGCCGUUUCUUCCACUGGCUCGCCGGCGGUGUUAGAGACUCCGUUUGUCUCUGUGCCUUGAAUGAAAAGUGUGAAAAUAUUCAGCAGCAUUUUGUUCUCGUUUGUUCCAGAAACGUCCCAGCUGUCCCCGAGCUGGUGCUCAUGCGUCUGAGUCUGGAGCGUCUGGAGCCGCAGGCCGACCAAUCAGAAGCUGAACGAUUAGUUCAGUUGUUUUUCUCUAAGGUUGAAUCAUAUUUAACAUCAGCACUUCUUAACGGUAGGACUCGGUCACACAGACCGGUCUGCAAACAUCUGGCAGCCGCCGGCCGUUGCAGCGGUUGCCCAUAGUUUAUUUGGGUGACACCAACCAAAGCAAGCGGGUGGAGGUUAUUGGUACAGCACCAUCCUCCAGCAGCUUCCAGCAACCGUCACCAACCAGGGCACAAACAUCCCAGCGCUGCUGUGGCUCCACAGGACGUCAGCAGCAGGUGUAGAUGCUGCUUCCUGUUACCAGACAGAACUGGCUCUGGUUCGGCCUUCAGGGGAGGACUGCAGAGGAACUCUCAGAUCUGAGUGGAUGAGACUGCAUGAUUUAUUCAGACUCUCCAAACAGCUUCUGUUCAGACAGUUAAUGAACUUAGCAGCGUUUAUGCUUUUAGCUGAUGAUGGCGGUGUUUUCUUACUGUUCCAGCUCGUGAAGCACCGACACACUCGUGUGCUUUAUCGUCAGGGUAACACGAUGCUGAAAAGCCCUUCUGGUUAUGUGUAAUUUCCCAGCAUGCAUUACACAUGGCCGGGAAAGCCUGGGCAGCUCACGGCGAUCGUGUUGAGCAGAGCGGGACUCUUUUUCAUGACUAAAGAUGGGAAGUGAUCAGAGCCACGAGAGGAAGGCUGAGGAGGCCGAGAAGGAAACUGAAAAACACGAGCAGUGUGACACAACUGAGGACGCGACUCCUGAAGAGGUGCCAGGAGAGCUGCCCCAGUGCAGGAUGGGAAACAGGAGGGUGGACAGCAUGUGUUUCAUGAUCUCGUGCACUAACUGGUACUGAACUGGUCCCCGUGUGUUGGGCUCGUGAUGAAACAGACGCACACUGGAGGAUCUGUCUGCGUCUGUGCUGCUACAACAACAAAUGCACCGGACUUCACUUUCCUUCAACUCGAAAACAAGACUAAUGAUAAGAGGAAGGGAUGGAAAAGGAUUUCAAACGAUGGGUCACAAGAGUCGUGGACUGUGUGGGAGAUGCUUGGAUUUCUGGUCAUGCCAAUAAAGACUGAACAAAAGUAAAGAAGUGUUGCUCGUCAUGCUCUGUGGGUCAGAGAGACGCGAGAGCUGAACUAAGGUUGCUCACUUCAGCUGUUGAUGUUCAAAAAGAAUUAGACUAGAAAGGAAAGGAAAGGAGGAUGGAAGAGGGAAAGGAAGGAAAGAAGGAGAUUGGGAAAGGGAAGGAAGUAAGGAAAGGAGAAGGAGGCAUAAAAAGGAAGAAAGCUGACAACGGAAGGAAAGGAAGGAAGAAAACGAAAGAAGAAAGGGGGUUAGGGAAGAGGCAGGAAGGAAGGGAAAACGGAUGACAGAAAGAGAGGAAAGGAAGGAAGAAAGGAAAGGAAAUGAGAGUACCUAAGGAAGGAAUGAAACGGGAAGAAGAAGACUAAGAAGGAAAGGGAACAAAGAAGCAGGUAGGAACAAAGGAAGGAAAGAAGGAUGAAAUAAGGAUAGC